AACCUGUUAAGGGAUUACAAAGAUCUUCAUUUGGCAAGUCUUUACAGGGUUUAUUUGAAAUGCAAACACCCACUUGAUGUUAAGAAUAGAGAGGGAAGAGGCACAGACAGGAGUGUGGAUAGGGUCCCUCCUUAACUGAACUUAAAUUCUGGUUAAACAAGUGGUAACAACAAAACCUGAGAAGCGUUAGGAUCAGAAACUCAGAGUGAGGGAAUUAUGUGUCAGGAACUCACAGGAGGAGGAAGGAAAGACUUCCUUAAGGAAAUGAGAAGUGAAGGAUUCUAGGCAUCAGCUGCACUUGAGAAAGAGCUCCAGACAGGUGAAAGAUUGUGGUUCCAAGGUCUGGAAGGAAAAGAGCUGGUAGUGGGGAAAGAUGGAAAGGUGGGAUGGUGGCCAGAUUCUGAAGUCGGCUUGGAGGCCAUCUCAAAGGGCACCAAGGGCACUGUCUCAAUAGCCUAAGCCACCAGACAGGAUGGCCCAGCGCUGCUUGUUAGUUGACCUGCCGGGACCAACUGUGACUCAUCUGUUUACUGCAGAGCAAAGUCUAGCCUCCUCAGCUCGCCCUGCGCCCCAAGCAGCACCUGGAGCAGCCGGCUCUCCAGCUAGAACAGCCCGGGCCGCGCACCCAGCCGAAGCUCAGAGCCGGUGCGAGGAGCGCGGCACUGCUGUCCGGCGAGGGUAGGCGCAGCGACGGCACGGACGAGGAGGCUGAGGACAGCAGGCCCAGGGUGAGGACCUCGCCGGGCACAUGGGCCACGCCGCUGCAGCGCGCUGAGUCCCUGGCCCCCCUGAGCACGCUGCACCUGGGGGACCCGCGGCCGGCCGCCCUGCUGCCCACCAAGCUCCACGACUGCAACAGGCAGGCGCAGCCCUGCCCAGCAAGCUCUUCCUCCGCAUUGAGUUUCACGGCGACGGGUUUGCUGAUUCAUCCCAUUCCAAUAUUUUAUAAAUAAGCUCUCAGAA